rnacentral:sRNA from 1 species
GCAGGGAGAAGGAAAAAAUCGAAGCGGGGAUUGUGGAGAUGAUGUGUCGAAAUCGCAGUAGGCAGCUGCACAGUGAUUCUCCUGAAAUAUUCCUCCUGGUCCAACAGAGCCUACGAAACAAAGUCUCCUCGCUGGACGAGGACGCUUGGAUGUACGAAGUCGAGGAUGAAAUUCAUGUCUAGAUCAUUGCAGUGCGUUACUUGUAAUCUGUCCGCGAGCCAUGGGCUUCUGCCUGUGGUAGCUUAAUACCAUAAAAUCCCCUUCCGACGAGCAAACGAUUACAGACCCUCUUUAAUCCAAAUCCAUCGCCAGCGGCUGCGUCUCAGCUUUCCCUGCGGUCCUCUGCUGUCGAGCUGGUUUUGCUCCAGCACCACCACCUCCAAACAUCAUCCCCAUCAUAUCCAUGAGCGGGUUAGACAGUUUCGGAAUCUUAAUUCCGAAAUACAACUCACCGAUAUGCGCCAACGCACUCUCCAAUCCGUCCACCUCCUUUAUAUGAAUCGCAUACUGUCUGGUCAAUUGCCUGAAUAAAUCUGUCGUGCCGCGCUGGAUAGCCAGCAGCAAGAGGCUUGUGAAAUUUAAAAUGGGCAGGGAAGGGAAGACGCGCACAUCUGCGCUCUGGCUGCUGACUUGCUGGAUAUUUAGGACUUUACUGGAUUCUGAGGACAACAGGCGACUGGUGAAGACUGAGAAGGCUUUAUUGGCGUCACGUAGGUUGCCAGUGAGGAGGUAGGGAAAAACUGCGCGGGAAGCGUAGGUGCCUGCCGUGUGGGGUUCGUCGUUCGUGUACCAGUCGUAUUCGAGGUCGGCGAGGAUUUCGGCAGAGGCGGAGGUGCCAAUGGCCAGGUGUCGUUCUGCGUCGUAGGGUUCGUUCUCUGGAGGGGGUAGCAAAUUGUCGGCAAAGGUAAAUAGGUUAUCACAAAAACCAAUCCAUAGCUGUGCUUUACCAGGUAACUUAUAAGUCAAGAAGAAUGGGGGGACUGGUUAAAAUAAAUUCACUCACCCUGCGCAAAUAACACCCCAAUCUCAUGAUGUAUCUCAGGAUCUCCUCUCUCCAGCUUCCCAAACCGCGCGCUCCACGCAAUCAGCUCAUUCAUAUAUCUCUUCCUCGUAGGCUCUUCAGGGGGAAACUCGCGCAGCAGCUCAAUCAACCGCU